rnacentral:rRNA from 1 species
CGGAGGGGCUAGCGUUGUUCGGAAUUACUGGGCGUAAAGCGCACGUAGGCGGACCAUCAAGUUGGGGGUGGAAAUCCCGGGGCUCAACCCCGGAACUGCCUCCAAAACUGCUGGUCUGGAGGUCGAGAGAGGCGAGUGGAAUUCCGAGUGUAGAGGUGAAAUUCGUAGAUAUUCGGAGGAACACCAGUGGCGAAGGCGGCUCGCUGGCUCGAUACUGACGCUGAGGUGCGAAAGCGUGGGGAGCAAACAGGAUU